GUAUUGUCAUCACUGGUACAGCCACACUCAUGUGUAGGGGCUGACCCGGGAGGAAGAACGACUUGUCAUUCCGGGUGCUACCCUGGUUCUAAGAUCAACUAACCAUCCAGAUGAUCGAGGACUGAGAACUCUGCUGGUCAGUUUUAUGUGUUUCCAUGGCUGGGCUGUAGUACUCUGCUAUUUGAUCCAACACUAGUGUAAGUGUUUCUGUGGAGGCAUUCUGUAGAAGUGAUUAACAUGCACAAUCAACUGACUUUAAGUAAAGAAGAUUAUCUUGGAUAGUCUGGUGGACCUGCUCUGGCCAGUGAAAGGCUUUAAGAGCAAAAUUGGGAUUUCCCUGAGGAAGAAGAAAUUCCACCUGUGGACUGCAGUUUAAGCUCAGUUCUAGCCUGCCCUGCCUGAUGGCCUGCCCUAAAGAUUUCAGAUUUGGCUAGUCAAUCCCACAAGCAUGUAAGCCAAUUCCUUGCAAUCAAUCAACAAACAAACAAAUGAAUGUGUAUGUGUGUGUCCUGCUGGGUCUGUUUCUCUGAUAGAACCCUGACUGACUCUAGGAAAACAGCCUGUUGCAUGGCAAGAGUGACGCCAUCUUGAAGUGGAACUGCCAUGAUGACAGAUAUUUGACUCCUGCAGACCAAGGUGUUCUUCAGCAAGAUCUUUAAACAACACCUGCGGUGUAGAUAAUUCCUCAUAAAGAUGCUCAUCUAACCUCCCCAGUGGUCAUUAGUCUUGGCAAGAAAGUCUGAGACGUGAUCAGCUGCAUGUGUCUCUACCUUAAAAGACUGUUAUAUAAAUGAUACUUUUUGGAGAGCAUGAUUUUUGGAGGGGAUUCACUGUCUCACGGCUGCCCAAGACAUUGCUUCUGUUCCUAAGUCCCUAUUAAAUGCUUCUGAGAAACUAGAUUUGUCAGCCUUUCUUCAGCCUCUCAGCUCCCUUGGCCUUUGGGGGUUGGUUUGCAUAGACCUGUGCACCAUAAACCAGUGACCAAGAGCAGCUUUCUAUGCAACUGAUGUCAUUUUCCUUUUUUACACCCUUACUUAUCUGGUGCUUAGUGAUGUCACAGCAUCAGAUAAGGCAGGCACUGGCACAGAUGUCGGCCAAGCCACUGGGGAACAAAUUGAGAUUUUAACUUUAACUUGAUUUUAAUGGCAAAUCCAAAUCUGAGUUUCAAUCAUAAAUCUUUAAGAAAAAGACUAAAAAUUAAGUGAAAAAUGGGCCACAGAACAGGCAACACUCAAAAUAAUGUUCUAUGAACAUAUGCUAAGAUGUUAAAUCUCAUUUGUAAAUAAAGAACCGUGAAUUACAUCAAUAACAUAUCAAUUUGUCAUCAACCAGGCAAAGGUUUAAAAGAAUGAUGCUAAAUAUGUGUGGUUUAGCAUAUGUCAAUUAUACCUCAAUAAAGCUCUAAAAAGCAAAAUGAAAAAAAAAAGCGUGGUGUUUGGGAUACUGCUGAAAAAUGAAAAUUCUCAGUCACAACCAGUGAGUGUUUGAAUUGAUUCAUCAUUAGGGAAGGUAAUUUGGAAAUAUUUAUUAAAAUGUUAAUUAGACUCACAUUUUGCCCUAGCAGUUCCUUUUCCUAGAAUUAAUCUUAUGACAAAUUUUCAAACUGGUGCCAAAGGAGUAGCUAGAAAGAAAUAUAAGAAGCAAAGAAGAGAGAAAGCAAGAAAAGAGGCCAGGCAUGAUGGUUCACUCCUGUAAUCCCAGAACUUUGAGGGGCCAAGGUGGAUGGAUCACUUGAGGCCAGGAGUUCGAGACCAGCCUGGCCAACAUGGUGAAACCCCACCUCUACUAAAAAUACAAAAAUUAGCUGAGUGUGGUGGUGGGCACCUGUGGUCCCAGCUACUUGUAAGGCUGAGGCAGAGAGUCACUUGAACCCGGGAGGCAGAGGUUGCAGUGCAUCGAGAUUGUGCCACUGCACUUCAGCCUGUGUAACAUAGCGAGACUCUGUCUCAAGAA
rnacentral:lncRNA from 10 species